rnacentral:rRNA from 1 species
UACGUAGGGUGCGAGCGUUAAUCGGAAUUACUGGGCGUAAAGCGUGCGCAGGCGGUUUUGUAAGCCAGAUGUGAAAGCCCCGGGCUUAACCUGGGAAUGGCAUUUGGGACUGCAAGGCUGGAGUGUGGCAGAGGAGACUGGAAUUCCUGGUGUAGCAGUGAAAUGCGUAGAUAUCUGGAGGAACACCGGUGGCGAAGGCGGCAUCCUGGACCGACACUGACACUGAGGAGCGAAAGCCAGGGGAGCAAACGGG